rnacentral:rRNA from 2 species
AGAGUUUGAUCCUGGCUCAGAGCGAACGCUGGCGGCAGGCUUAACACAUGCAAGUCGAGCGGGCGUAGCAAUACGUCAGCGGCAGACGGGUGAGUAACGCGUGGGAACAUACCUUUUGGUUCGGAACAACACAGGGAAACUUGUGCUAAUACCGGAUAAGCCCUUACGGGGAAAGAUUUAUCGCCGAAAGAUUGGCCCGCGUCUGAUUAGCUAGUUGGUGAGGUAACGGCUCACCAAGGCGACGAUCAGUAGCUGGUCUGAGAGGAUGAUCAGCCACAUUGGGACUGAGACACGGCCCAAACUCCUACGGGAGGCAGCAGUGGGGAAUAUUGGACAAUGGGCGCAAGCCUGAUCCAGCCAUGCCGCGUGAGUGAUGAAGGCCCUAGGGUUGUAAAGCUCUUUUGUGCGGGAAGAUAAUGACGGUACCGCAAGAAUAAGCCCCGGCUAACUUCGUGCCAGCAGCCGCGGUAAUACGAAGGGGGCUAGCGUUGCUCGGAAUCACUGGGCGUAAAGGGUGCGUAGGCGGGUUUUUAAGUCAGAGGUGAAAUCCUGGAGCUCAACUCCAGAACUGCCUUUGAUACUGAAAGUCUUGAGUUCGGGAGAGGUGAGUGGAACUGCGAGUGUAGAGGUGAAAUUCGUAGAUAUUCGCAAGAACACCAGUGGCGAAGGCGGCUCACUGGCCCGAUACUGACGCUGAGGCACGAAAGCGUGGGGAGCAAACAGGAUUAGAUACCCUGGUAGUCCACGCCGUAAACGAUGAAUGCCAGCCGCUAGUGGGUUUACUCACUAGUGGCGCAGCUAACGCUUUAAGCAUUCCGCCUGGGGAGUACGGUCGCAAGAUUAAAACUCAAAGGAAUUGACGG